UUUCCUCUAGCAGCAGCAGUGAGAGUGGUGUUGAUGUUCAGGUGUUGUUUCCUCAGCAGCAGGCAGCAGUGAGAGUGGGUGUGUGAUUGUCCAGGUGUUGUUUCCUCUAGCAGGCAGCAGUGAGAUGUGUGUGUGAUGUUCAGGUGUUGUUUCCUCUAGCAGGCAGCAGUGACAGUGUGUGUGAUGUCCAGGUUGUUUCCUCUAGCAGGCAGCAGUGACAGUGUGUGUGAUGUCCAGGUGUUGUUUCCUCUAGCAGGCAGCAGUGACAGUGUGUGUGAUGUCCAGGUGUUGUUUCCUCUAGCAGGCAGAGUGACAGUGUGUGUGAUGUCCAGGUGUUGUUUCCUCUAGCAGGCAGCAGUGAGAGUGUGUGGGUGAUGUCCAGGUGUUGUUUUCUUCUAGCAGGCAGCAGUGAGAGGGUGUGAUGUCCAGGUGUUGUUUCCUCUAGCAGGCAGCAGUGACAGUGUGUGUGAUGUCCAGGUGUUGUUUCCUCUAGCA